UCAAGCUACUAAGGGCAUACGGCGGAUGCCUAGGCGCCAUCAGCCGAUGAAGGACGCGGUAAGCUGCGAAAAGCUACGGGGAACUGCAAGCAAGUAUUGAUCCGUAGAUGUCCGAAUGGGGAAACCCACCUGCCGUCAUGGGCAGGUAUCCGAAAGGAAGGGAACCCGGGGAACUGAAACAUCUAAGUACCCGGAGGAAGAGAAAUCAAACGAGAUGCCCACAGUAGCGGCGAGCGAAGAGGGCAGAGGGCAAACCGGGGAGCUACGGCUCUCCGGGGUUGAGGACUGCAUUUAGUCUUAAUGGUCUAUCCGAACUACCUGGAAAGGUAGGCAACACAGUGUAAAAGCCACGUAGGUUAAAGACCAAAGAGAUGAGCAGUAUCCAGAGUACCACGAGGCACGAGGAAUCUUGUGGGAAGCCGGGGGGACCACCCUCCAACCCUAAACACUGAAUGGCGACCGAUAGCGCAUAGUACCGUGAGGGAAAGGUGAAAAGAACCCCGGGAGGGGAGUGAAAGAGAACCUGAAACCGUAUGUCUACAAGCAGUCGGAGCGAAAGCGACGGCGUGCCUAUUGAAGAAUGAACCAACGAGUUACGUGCACUAGCGAGGUUAAGUGGAAGACACGGAGCCGAAGCGAAAGCGAGUCUUAAGAGGGCGGAUAGUUAGUGUACGUAGACCCGAAACCGCAGUGAUCUACCCAUGUCCAGGUUGAAGCGCAGGUAAAAUUGCGUGGAGGACCGAACCUGUGAGCGUUGAAAAGCUUUAGGAUGAGAUGUGGGUAGAGGUGAAAUUCCAAUCGAACGCGGAGAUAGCUGGUUCUCCCCGAAAUAGCUUUAGGGCUAGCCUCAAGUAGUAAGUAUAGGCGGUAGAGCACUGAUCGGGCUAGGGGCCAUAAAGGUUACCGAACCCUGUCAAACUCCGAAUGGUUAUACUGUAGAGCUUGGGAGUCAGACUACGAGUGAUAAGAUCCGUGGUCAAAAGGGAAACAGCCCAGACCACCAGCUAAGGUCCCCAAUGUCGUACUAAGUGGAAAAGGAUGUGGGGUCUCUAAAACAACCAGGAUGUUGGCUUAGAAGCAGCCACCAUUUAAAGAGUGCGUAAUAGCUCACUGGUCGAGAGACCCUGCGCCGAAGAUUACCGGGGCUAAAGUACGAAACCGAAGCUGUGGCUACGACGUAAGUCGUGGGGUAGGGGAGCGUUCUGUGAGGGCUGAAGUCGUUCUGUAAGGAACGGUGGACUUCACAGAAGUGAGAAUGUUGGUAUGAGUAGCGAAAAGAAUGGUGAGAAUCCAUUCCACCGAAAGCAUAAGGAUUCCUGGGCAACGAUCGUCGUCCCAGGGUAAGUCGGGACCUAAUCCGAGGCAUGGAGCGUAGGAGAUGGACAACUGGCAGAUAUUCCAGUACCGGUAAUGAUUGUUUGAGCGAUGGAGUGACACAGGAGGGCAGGCAGGCAGGAGAUUGGUUGUUCCUGUACAAGCGUGUAGGAUGGGUUGCAGGCAAAUCCGCAACCUGUGAGUCUGAGGCGUGAUGUGGAGGUUCCGGAAACGGAACUGAAGCUGCUGACCCCACACUGUCGAGAAAAGCUUCUAGUUAGAGAAUUACCGCCCGUACCGUAAACCGACACAGGUAUGCGGGGAGAGAAUCCUAAGGUGCGCGGGAGAACCCUCGUUAAGGAACUCGGCAAAAUGUACCCGUAACUUCGGGAUAAGGGUAGCCGCUGUUGUGAAGUCUGAACAGAUGGAGCAUGAGGCGGUCGCAGAGAAGAGGCCCAAGCGACUGUUUACCACAAACACAGGUGCCUGCUAAAGAGAAAUCUGACGUAUAGGUGCUGACACCUGCCCAGUGCCGGAAGGUUAAGGAAGGAUGUCCGGAGCAAUCCAAAGCAUUCGACCGAAGCCCCGGUGAACGGCGGCCGUAACUAUAACGGUCCUAAGGUAGCGAAAUUCCUUGUCGGGUAAG
rnacentral:rRNA from 1 species